AACGUAGGAGACAAACGUUAUCCGGAGUUACUGGGCGUAAAGGGUGCGUAGGCGGUCGUGUAAGUCGGAUGUGAAAUCCCGGGGCUCAACCCCGGAACUGCAUUCGAUACUGCAUGGCUAGGGUACUGGAGGGGAAACUGGAAUUUACGGUGUAGCAGUGAAAUGCGUAGAUAUCGUAAGGAAGACCAGUGGCGAAGGCGAGUUUCUGGACAGUUACCGACGCUGAGGCACGAAGGCCAGGGGAGCAAACGGG
rnacentral:rRNA from 1 species